CAGUCGCCACGGUAAUACGAAGGGGGCUAGCGUUGCUCGGAAUUACUGGGCGUAAAGGGCGCGUAGGCGGCGCUCCAAGUUAGGCGUGAAAUUCCCGGGCUCAACCUGGGGACUGCGCUUAAGACUGGAGUGCUUGAGGAUGGAAGAGGGUUGUGGAAUUCCCAGUGUAGAGGUGAAAUUCGUAGAUAUUGGGAAGAACACCGGUGGCGAAGGCGGCAACCUGGUCCAUUACUGACGCUGAGGCGCGAUAGCGUGGGGAGCAAACAGGAUUAGAUACCCCAGUAGUCCCUGUCUCUUAUAC
rnacentral:rRNA from 1 species